UUUAUUAUAUAAUUAUUUAAUUAUAUUUAUAUAAGUAACUUUUUUUCAUUAUUAAAUAAGAAAAAUUAUUUUUUUAUUAUAGUUUAUUAGUAAAGUGAUUGAAUUUCUUUAUUAUUAAUAAAGAAAAAUUUUAUUUUUGUACCUUGUGCAUCAGGAUUAAUUAAUUAAAAGUUAAUUAUUUAGUUUUCUCGAAUUUAAAAGAGCUAAUUAAUUAUUAAUUUAAAUGUUAAAUAAUUUUUUAUAAUAUUUAAUUAGAAAUUAAAUGUUAUUCGAUUUUAAAUAUAUCUGGUUUUUUAAGAAAAGAAUUUAAUUCUAUUAUUAUUUUUUAAGUAAUUUUUAUUAUUUCUUAGGUUUUAAUAUUAAAUAUUUAAUGGGAUGAUCUUUUAAUUAUAUUUUUAUAAUAAGAAUUUUAUUUUAAUGUUUUGUAUAAUUUGAAUUGUUAAUCAUAAAUAAAUUAAUAUUUAAUCAUUUUGAAUUUAAAGAUUUUUUUUUAUUUAGUUUUUUUAUUAAAAUAAAGUAUCUAUUAUUUUUAUUCUUUUAAUUAUGAUUAAAUUAGUAAUUAUAAUUUUAUUUUGUUGUUUUUUUUAAGGUUAAUAAAAGGAAUUCGGCAAUAAUAUUUUCUGCCUGUUUAUUAAAAACAUGUCCUUUUGAUAAUAAUUUAAGGUCUAAUCUGCUCAAUGAAGAUUAAAUAGCCGCAGUAUUCUGACUGUGCGAAGGUAGCAUAAUAAAUAGUUUUUUAAUUAGAAACUUGUAUGAAUGAUUGGACAAGAAAAUUUCUGUCUCUUAUUAAUUUUUUAUGAAUUUAAUUUUUAAGUUAAAAUGCUUAAAUAUUUAUAAAAGACGAGAAGACCCCAUAGAGUUUUAUUUUUAUUUAUUUUUGGUAUAAUAUAUUUAUGUAGAAAAUUAGUUGGGGCGACUAGAAGAUUGGAUUAACUCUUUAAAAUUAAAUCACUUAUUUGUGAAUUGAAAAUCUUAUGUUUUAAUUUUAAAUUAAAUUACCUUGGGGAUAACAGCGUAAUUUCUUUUUAGAGUUCUUAUCAAAUAAGAAGAUUGCGACCUCGAUGUUGGAUUAAAAUUUAUUUCUGGUGUAGAAGCUUGAUAAUUAAGUCUGUUCGACUUUUAAAAUUUUACAUGAUCUGAGUUUAAACCGGUGUAAGCCAGGUUGGUUUCUAUCUUUAUAAAAAUUUAAUAUUUUAGUACGAAAGGACCAAUUAUUAAAUAAAUUAUUUAUUUUUGAAUAAAAUU
rnacentral:rRNA from 1 species